rnacentral:rRNA from 1 species
GACGAACGCUGGCGGCGUGCUUAACACAUGCAAGUCGAACGGAAAGGCCCUGCUUUUGUGGGGUGCUCGAGUGGCGAACGGGUGAGUAACACGUGAGUAACCUGCCCUUGACUUUGGGAUAACUUCAGGAAACUGGGGCUAAUACCGGAUAGGAGCUCCUGCUGCAUGGUGGGGGUUGGAAAGUUUCGGCGGUUGGGGAUGGACUCGCGGCUUAUCAGCUUGUUGGUGGGGUAGUGGCUUACCAAGGCUUUGACGGGUAGCCGGUCUGAGAGGGUGACCGGCCACAUUGGUCCUGAGAUACGGCCCAGACUCCUACGGGAGGCAGCAGUGGGGAAUAUUGCACUAUGGGCGGAAGCCUGAUGCAGCAACGCCGCGUGCGAGAUGACGGCCUUCGGGUUGUAAACCGCUUUCGCCUGUGACGAAGCGUGAGUGACGGUAAUGGGUAAAGAAGCACCGGCUAACUACGUG